rnacentral:lncRNA from 1 species
AAGGGAGGCUGCGUUUAACCCUCGACGCCCUGCACCCAGCCCGGCGCGGCGCGCUCAGCCGCCUCGCCGGACUCCUCCCGGGGCGCGGGAGCCCGGCGGCGCGCCCAGCCCUUACCUAUGGUGGUGAUGACCGUGAUCGCAAAGUAGAAGGAGCCGGCGAAUUUCCACUGGACGCCGGCGCGGUGCGGUUCCGACUGCAGGAUCACCAGCUCCAGCUGCCGGUAGUCCUCGCUGCUGAUGUUGUACUUCCCCUUGAUCCGGAUCUCCUCGGCUUUGAGUUUCUCCUCCUCGCGCAUCUCGUGGUCCGACUCGAGGGCGUCGAACACGGCGGCGCCCACCAGCAGAUGGGAAAACUUCCAGCAAGACAGGAUCACGUGCCCAGGAUCCCACAGUGAUUCCGAUGUGGAGCCAGCCCUGGAAGCCUCUCCGUGGCUUCUGUCUAGCGCUCCUUCAAGGACCCCCGCUGCUUUCUGGCCCCAAGCUUAGAGUGCCUUGAGUGGCCACCUACCAGCCCCCAGACCCUGGUUCUUCCUCUCUUCCACCCGUGGGAAUAGACCCGUGGACUCAGGACCUCCCAGGCAGUGUCUGAGCCGUGGAAGCAGAGGGUUCCUCGUCCGCCGGUCCACACCCCACAUGUGCCACUUUCCAAGGCGCUGGACCUGCGGGUGGAAUGGGAGCUCCUGGGAGCAAAGCCUGGGGCUCAAUCGAGCAUCCUCCCUACAUCCCCAGCAUCCAUCCCGGAUGGUGUGUGCCACACAGCAGCCCAGAGAGUCCGGCUGGGGGCAGCGCCUCUGCGUGCCUGCCUCCCUGGCAGCCCCGGUGGGUCUGGGUGUCCCAACUCUAGCCCUACCUCGAGAAGCAUGUGGAACUGAGGUGUGGCCAAUCAGAGUCCAGAAUUCCCCAGAGCCACGGUGAUUGGCUGGAUUUGGACGUGUGAAGACCCACCUCAACCAAUCAGAGCCCUCCUCUGGGUAGGGCUGUCAGCAGAUAGGUGACCUGAGGAGGGAGGCGGGUCCUUCCUGACUCUUUGAGAACCCCUAUGCAGGCACGUGGCGCACACGCGAGCCACCCAACUGGGGUGAGCAAGUGCAUUGUCUUGUGGGCUUAAGCCACAGUCAGUUGGUCCCAAGCCUGUCCGGUGCUCCUGGUGCCCAUGCACUGUGUUCACAGCCUGUCUGCGUCCUCCAGCAGCCCCAACAU